CUUCUGGUCCCAGAGAUUCCCUGGGAAAUCCUAUUAUUCUUUGUAGACUUGCUUCCCUCUGUCCUAAAAGCAACCAACCAACCUAAGAGUCAACUCUUCCCAUCCAAGUUUGCACCUCCCAGAAGAAUCGGAUGAUACAGGUGCCGUCCAGCCAAUCAGCGCUGUUAGUCUCGUCUUCUGGACAAGAAAUCUGAGAUCGAAGAGAAUUGUCAGGUGUUUUAUAGUGCACUGAAUUAAAGCCUCCCCCAGCUUGGCAACGGACGGACAGAGGAAGGAUGGUGGCUUCUGCUCAGUUUCUUUAGCUUCAAGAGAACCUAUUUUAAGUCCACCAGAGAAGCUCAUCUUUUUUUUUUUUUUUUCAUCUUUCUUUACUAUGGUGGGAUCAAGGGUGGGCAGAUGUGGGCCAUGAGGAACAGAAGGAUGAACUUUAUUUUUCUGAGAAAGACUGUUAACAAAAACGGAGACUCCAUGGAUGUGAAGGGAAGGUUCACAGAUCUGGCUGUACCUGGAACCUACCUGCAUGAAACCGAUACAUGGCAGAGCCGAGCCAAGAACACCCUGGACUCAGGGGCACUCGCCAUGCCU
rnacentral:lncRNA from 1 species